AACGCUAGCUACAGGCUUAACACAUGCAAGUCGAGGGGCAGCGCAGUGUAGCAAUACAUGGGCGGCGACCGGCGCACGGGUGCGUAACGCGUAUCCAACCUUCCCGUUACUCAGGGAUAGCCUUCCGAAAGGGAGAUUAAUACCUGAUGGUGUUCAAAUUCCGCAUGUUAUUUGAACUAAAGAUUUAUCGGUAACGGAUGGGGAUGCGUGACAUUAGGUAGAUGGCGGGGUAACGGCCCACCAUGCCUACGAUGUCUAGGGGUUCUGAGAGGAAGGUCCCCCACACUGGAACUGAGACACGGUCCAGACUCCUACGGGAGGCAGCAGUGAGGAAUAUUGGUCAAUGGUCGGAAGACUGAACCAGCCAAGUAGCGUGAAGGAUGAAGGUUCUAUGGAUUGUAAACUUCUUUUAUACGGGAAUAAAACCUCCCACGUGUGGGAGCUUGUAUGUACCGUAUGAAUAAGCAUCGGCUAACUCCGUGCCAGCAGCCGCGGUAAUACGGAGGAUGCGAGCGUUAUCCGGAUUUAUUGGGUUUAAAGGGAGCGUAGACGGGAGAUUAAGUCAGUUGUGAAAGGCUGCGGCUCAACCGCAGCACUGCAGUUGAUACUGGUUUCCUUGAGUGCGGUUGAGGUGUAUGGAAUUCGUGGUGUAGCGGUGAAAUGCUUAGAUAUCACGAAGAACUCCGAUUGCGAAGGCAGUACACUAAGCCGUAACUGACGUUGAGGCUCGAAAGUGUGGGUAUCAAACAGGAUUAGAUACCCUGGUAGUCCACACGGUAAACGAUGAAUACUCGCUGUUGGCGAUACAAUGUCAGCGGCCAAGCGAAAGCAUUAAGUAUUCCACCUGGGGAGUACGCCGGCAACGGUGAAACUCAAAGGAAUUGACGGGGGCCCGCACAAGCGGAGGAACAUGUGGUUUAAUUCGAUGAUACGCGAGGAACCUUACCCGGGCUUAAAUUGCAGAGGACAGGCUCAGAGAUGGGCUCUUNUUCGGACCUCUGUGAAGGUGCUGCAUGGUUGUCGUCAGCUCGUGCCGUGAGGUGUCGGCUUAAGUGC
rnacentral:rRNA from 1 species